rnacentral:lncRNA from 1 species
UUGCACCCCAUAAGGCAAUUGGCACAUUGUUUGCAUUUUGCAUCACAAAAGCAUAAUAGUCGCCUAAUUGGUGUGAGCGAAAACUUUUGUUUUCAUUCCACACACUAUCUACAUUUAAUUUUUGAAUUGCAUUUCUGCAUCAACAUAGCAUAAAAAAACUUGACCAGUUGUAGAGUGUAGCUGACAAAUUGGGGACAGUAUAGGAAGAUACAUAUGCCGAUUAUAUCCAUCAGGAUUGAUUGGAUUCCUACGCAUUAGUCUGAACUAUCAUUCUUUGUGAUCUAUGUUUCUAUCCUUUGUUUUACUUUUGUUCCAUUAUAAAAAAAUUAAGUAACUAAUUGAUUCUAGUUGCUUAACACAUAAGAAGUACACUAGUCAUUCUUCUGUGUGCUUAAUUCUGAGCUUCUAUAGAAAUCAGAAUCCUUUAGGGCUCCUUAUUUUUUCGUAAGGAUUAACGUGCAGACCCAAUUCAAGCAAUUUUGAUUUCAAAUGCUCAACUCGACAUAUGAAGCUAUCAAUUGAGGGAUUGUGAGGAAACACAAGGGAAGGUGAGGGAAAGAAUUUAUUCUUUUCACUAAUCUUUAUUGUAGGUCCUACACUAUUUCUCAAUCCAUCAAAAACACUCCACUUAGGAGUAAUGUCCUUGUUGUCUGAAGAGCUCUCAACGUGCAAG